rnacentral:rRNA from 1 species
GUGGAUGCUAGUUUCUAAGAUUAAGCCAUGCAUGUUUAUGAAGCGAAUAUAUUGCGGAUUGAUAGACGGCUCAGUAAUACUGCGAUGAUUUGAUUGAUUGUGUGUUGUAACUACGGGAAACUGUAGGUAGGGCAUGAUAGUGUAUUUUAGUUUAGUUUAUUGUACAUGUGUUGAGUAAGUUGCAGGCCUAUCAACUGGUAGUUAGGGUAAUGGCCUAACUAGGUAUUGACGGGAGACGGGGGAUUAGGGUUUGAUUCCGGAGAGGGAGCCUGAGAGAUGGCUACUACGUCCAAGGAUGGCAGCAGGCGCGAAACUUGCCUAAUCUUUUGUAGUAGGAGGCAGUGAUGAGACGUGAGAUGAUUGUGGUGCAUUGUAAAGAGAUGUGCUGAUAUUGGAGGGCAAGUCGGGUGCCAGCAGCCGCGG